UUCAACUUCUGGGUUCUUCUUGAGAUCUCUCUUUCUUGUUCUUUGAGAGACCUUUCUUUUUCUUCUAUUUUUAAUUUCUGUUUCUUGUGAUCUUACAUGAGAUCUUGGUUAAACUGGAAGAACCUUAUACAAUAUAUCUUGCUAAAGUAAUUUGGCCAAUUGUAAGGCCUAUGUUGUGUAUAUUUUGAUUAGACAAUAGGGGCCUUGGUUUAUUGGUGAUUAAUGUUUGAUUUUGUGAGAUCCUUUGGAUCAAUGAUCGGAUCCAGUGUCCGAGUGUGGUCUCUGUCUCUUAGAAGGUUAUUUUCCACAUAAUAAAAGGGCCAACCACAGAGCCCCCAGGUUAGGCAUUUUUCGUCGAACUGGGUGAACAAUUGUUUGUGUUCUUUACUAUUUUUGUGCGUGAUUGAUUGUUUAUUCUCACACGAACAAUGAAACAAACUGGUAAAUCCUUACAAAUAUGGUAUCAGAGCUAUUCAGACUUCGAGUCACGAUUUCCUGUCAGAGAAUCAUCUUCUUAAUCCACCUUAAUUCAUAUUUUUAUAUACAUUGAAUUUUUUUUGGAAAUUAUUACCGAUCGAUUUUCUGAUAAGUACAGUGCCUGAAAGCCAUAACUGGUGAUCUUGGUGUCUUGGGCUCGAAUGGGUUUCUUGGUAGGUGGUCUAAGUAUUUGAAUUUUAAUAAGCCAACCGUGCAAUGGGUGAGAUUGUUCUAAUUUUGACUUUACUCAUAAUAACUAAAAAGCAUGCAUUUGUUUGUUCUUAAAGAUUGGGUGACACUAGUUGAUAAAUUUUUAAGAACAAUUUCAUUCUUGUAUGUGAUAUCUGUAUGAGAUGGUAUUGAGGCAUGUUUUAAGUUGGUAAUCUCAAUAUAUUGUAUUAUGUGAUCUUGAGAUUAAUUACUUGUUGACUUUGCUAUGAUAGCUUGGAUACUCUUGUUGAUACUAUAUUGUAAUUCUUAAGUCAGUUUACCUUUUAAUUGUUGCAAAGUUUUUUCAAAACCUUUCCUGCACUUAAGUGAUCAACUAUUAAGAAUCACUUAUGUCCACAAGUAAUCACCACCCUUUUACUGAACCUAUAAUGGAUUUGAAGUUCGAGUUGUCUCAAUUCGAUGGAAAAUAAUACUCGAUAUUGAAGCAGAAAAUUAGGGCUAUAUUGGUCCAACAAAGGUUUACUAAAGCCCUAGAUGAUCCUAAAAUUUUUUUUGCUAAAUUAAAGGCUAGACCUGAUGAAAUUCUAGAAAUGAAUGAAAUUGUUUAUAGCUCAAUUAUCUAGCAUUUAUCUGACAACAUUAUAAGACAAGUUGAAGAUUCUAAAACACAUAGAUCCUUAUGGACAGCACUUGAUGCACUGUUCUUGAUUAAGACAUUGCCAAACAAAAUCUAUUUGCUGGAGAAAUUAUUCACUUUUAAGAUGGACAUUGGGAAAGACCUAGAAACAAACUUGAGUGAUUUUAGUAUUUUAGUUAAGAGUCUUGCACACAAUGACAAGAAAUUCUAUGAUGAAGACCUUGCAGUUAUACUAUUCAACUCACUGCCUGAAUCUUAUAAGGAUAUAAAAAAUGCCGUAAAAUACUCAAGAGAUGCUCUAACUCAAACUACAGUAACAAAUGCUUUAAUAGCUAGAGAACUAAAGGCCAAGAAAGAAACUAUAUCUUAUACAAGAGAAGAUGGCAUGUUUGUUAGAGGGAGAACAGAAAAGAAAGAAAAUGAUACCUAGAAUAGAAAAUUUAAAUUUAAAUCCAGAGGUAGAUCCAAAUCCAGGGAUAAGUGUAUUAAAGAGUGUUAUCACUGUGAAAAACUUGGGCACUUUAAGAGACUAUUUUGAAGUGCAAAGGAAACACAAAUACCAAAGCAUUGUUGACCUGACCAAUGUUACUAUCAGUCGUGAUCUGGAUAGUCUUCUUGUAAUGUUUGUGUCCGAUGAUGAUAGUAACAAGGAUUGGAUCUUAGACUCAAGAUGCACAUUUCACAUGAGUCCUAAUAGAUCUUGGUUCUACAAUUACAAAUCAAUUGAAUCCAAGAAAGUGUACAUGGGAGAUGACAAUUCCCAAAUAGUACGGGGAAUUGGUGACAUUGCUAUUAAAAUGCAUGAUGACAUUGUGAGACAAAUCAAGAAUGUUAGGCAUGUCCCAAACCUAAAAAGAAACCUUAUUGCAUUAGGGAUUCUUGAAGAUGAAGGGUAUACAUUUAAAUGUGAUAAUAACAUACUAAAAGUGAUGAAGGGAUUACUUGUUAUGUUGAAAGGACCCAAGAAGAAUGGGCUAUAUUAUCUUCCUAGAGAAACCAUAACCACUCAAGAUAAUAGCUCUUUAACUGUAAUUGAAAUUAAGUCUGAAUUUUGUCGUAAUAGAUUAGGACAUACUGGCAAUAAGGGCCUAAAAUAUCUAAGUAAUAAAAAGUUACCUGGGAAAGAUAUAAUUGAGCCCCAUCAAUUUUUUGAGACUUGUGUAUUAGGUAAGUCCCAUAAGGUGAGUUUUAAUAUAGGGUCUCAUACCACUAAUAGACCUUUGGAUUAUGUUCAUUCUGACGUGCGGGGACUUGACAGUCACCUCACCUUUGGGGGGAACAGAUACUUUCUGUCCAUCAUUGAUGACUCUUCCAAGAAAGUCUAGGUUUACUCUUUGAGGGCCAAAUCUGAAACUUUCCAGAAAUUCAAAACUUGGCUUAAAAUUAUAGAGAAUCAGUUGAAUAAGAAACUGAAAACACUAAGGAUUGAUAAUAGAUUGGAGUUCUAUAAUUCUAAAUUUGAGAACCUCUGUAAACAAAAAGGGGUGUCUGAUGCAGGAGGAUCCAAGUCAAGUGAUGCUGAUUUGUCAGAUUGCACGAUGAUGGCGCUGAGAUACCAUGAGAUGGCGGAUCGGCGCAAAGAUGGAAAGUAAAAUCCCCAUUAGCCUUUUGGAAAGUAAAAUCACCAUUAUUUCCUUAAUUUGGAGAUUUUGACGCGUUUUUGGUAAUUUGGCCAUAACUUUGGCUACGAUUAUCGGAAUCGCUAUUAUGACCCCAAUUCGGAAAGCUCUCUUCGGCGCGCACGUCGUGGCCACCAAGUUUUGCUCGGUGGACGUCAAUUUCAAGCCCAAAAUCCACUGUUUUCCUUUCCAAAAUUCAAUUUUAAGUUAUUUUUUACUAUUUAUGGUAAUAUUUAGUUUCCUUUUUUCUUUAUG
rnacentral:lncRNA from 1 species